rnacentral:hammerhead_ribozyme from 1 species
GCACUGUUGGGGAGUCCCACAAUAGGACGAAACGGCCGUCCAGUGU